AUAUAUAUAUAUAUAUGUAUGUGUAUAUAUAUAUAUAUAUAUAUAUAUAUAUAUAAGAAACACUUGGAUCGUGAGGAGGGCUCGGGCUUAUUAACAAUGCCACAAAACUAAGGACGAAUUAGUUCUUCAACGAUCGAACCGAGUCGUCUUCUCGCAGAAGGCAGCAAUAAAUAUAUCUAAGGUGCACAAAAAUGCUGGAGAAACACAGCGGGUGCAGCAGCAUCUAUGGAGCGAAGGAAAUAGGCAACGUUUCGGGCCGAAACCCUUCUUCAGACAAAUAUAUCUAUACUCUCUCUUUUCUUCCUCAAUCGAAGGAGGUUUCGUGAAGUACUUUGUCGCCAUGGCUGGAUAUUUGUGAGCUUUGUUUCGCUAGACACUAGACAGCAUUUAACUCCAGCAGUGACUUUUUUAAAUGGGAGCUGGCGAAAAUUAAACAAAAAACCUCGAAUGUUUCCUUUUGAUUUUCCAACCGAUUUUUAAAUUGUUUACAACAAACUUAAGAGAAGAGCGCAGAGGGAAGAAAACACAAAACGACAGCAUGGUGGAUAGAAAGGGUUUUCUAAAACAAAAUGUUAACACACACACUAUUUGAAGUAACGGGUACAGUGUAGAUCGAACAAACGUCGGGUUGAUGGUAGCAUCCCGGAGUAUUUACAUGUAUUUACAUGAGGGGGAGCAUUUCAUGACUUUUUACGGUGGAACGCAAUGAAACUGCAGUAAAGUGCAAUACUGUAAAUAUCAGAAGUAGUUGUCUCGUAGUAACUUGGGAAGAAAGCAAGCAAUCACCUGGUCUUUGAAGGCACAAGAAGCUGGUGGAUUGCCGCACGGUCACCAAAAUCAACAAAGAGAACCAAAUUCGUAUCUCUACAGGGCGAUUACCGAGUGGUAUCUUAAAGAUAAAAUAGCUAAACGGUUUUUUUUUUUCGUUCGGGGGUGGGAUGGGAGGGUCGAUCGAUCGAUCAUGUGCCAUGAUUCUUGGAGCUAAGCUCGAUUUAAGUGUGCAAAACACGGCUUUUUACAGGUCCGUUUUUAAAAUGCAGAAUAACGGUGGAGUUAGAGGAACAUAAUUUGACACCGUGAGCGAGAAGUCAGUGCUUAUGUUUAAUGUCAGAUACCCACAGCCGUGAACCCACCGCACUGUUAUAACCCAGCACAUGAACGUUUUUUUUAAUUUAUUUCUCGUAUUUUUAAAUUUUUAUAAAUGUGAUAUAUUUUAUUAAGUCGUGUGUAAAUGUCACUUGCUUUGCCUUUAUUUUUAUAUUUUCAAUCUUGCUUUGCGAAUUUCCGAAUGAGACAGGUGUGUAAUUAAGUUGUAAUGUUAAAUAUAGCAAGUUGGAGUUUACAAUAUGAAUAAAAAUCAUUUCAGGGAUGCAGAUGAUUAAUGAUAAUGAUAGUGAAACCUAGCGCCGGAUCGACACACUCAUUGCAAGAUUAAACAGUAAACCAGUGGUACGGAGACUAAAGACAUGUAUUCGUUUUGUGAUUAUUUGCAAGCAUGCUUACACAUUCUGAUUUACGACACAGUUCUAUAACUUAUAGUCCAGAGUGUAUUUUGUUGGAUCAUCCAUAUUAUGAAUGUACAACUUGUACACGUGAAGUUGCAAAUAAAAUUUAAAAUAUUUGUA